rnacentral:misc_RNA from 1 species
GAAAUGCGAUAAGUAAUGUGAAUUGCAGAAUUCAGUGAAUCAUCGAAUCUUUGAACGCACAUUGCGCUCGCCAGUAUUCUGGCGAGCAUGCCUGUUCGAGCGUCAUUUCAACCAUCAAGCUCUGCUUGCGUUGGGGAUCCGCGGCUGCCCGCGGUCCCUCAAAAACAGUGGCGGGCUCGCUAGUCACACCGAGCGUAGUAACUCUACAUCGCUAUGGUCGUGCGGCGGGUUCUUGCCGUAAAACCCCCAAUUUCUAAGGUUGACCUCGGAUCAGGUAGGAAUACCCGCUGGACUUAAGC